AGCGGCUCCCUCCCCUCCAAUGCCCUUCCCCGGCGGCGGCACCGCUCCCCCUCUGAAUCCCCCCUCCCCUGCGGCCCCUCUCCCUUCCCCGGCGGUGACCGGCGCGCGCGCCACGCAUGGCCGCGCCCGUGUCACACCCGGUUUUAAGGGAUAAAGCCAGGUGCAUCUCAUAUGUGCGCCAAGGAAGAACAACACAUAUAAUUACAGAGUGCAUAGAGAUAAAUGUAAUUAUUACAUAGCGGAAGUCUACAAAAUAAAUGAUAAAUAUAAAACGAACUAAAUCUUAUUUCCCUGGCACCACAAAGCUGACUGAGAGACGCCUCCUAGAUUAUGUCGUACUCCUCGUUGGGCGGCUCCUCUUGAACCACAUGUUCUUCUCCUGUGGGGUGUGUGAGACAGCAAGGGUGAGCUCACAUACGUUCAUAGCUCAACAAGUUGUGGGGAAUAAUGUGCAUGAAUUCACCAAAGCUGAGAGUUCAUGUGAAGUGUAAGGCUGAUCAACAAAAUAAAUGUUAAAGCUGAGCAUUACUUUUAUAAGUUGGUCAAAGUUUUAUUAGCAGUUACUAAGUGUAAGUAAAUACCAGUAAUAAUAAAUAAAAGUAAUAAUAAAAUAAUCUCAAUGCGAUGCAAAUGACAAAUUGAAUUUAAUUCCAUAAGUUAAUCAUGUGAGAGUCUGAGCUGCUCAUGACCGUGAGCACGGCUAAUAUACCAGCUUUACACUAUGCAGAGGUUGCGCAUCUUUACCCACAAGUCAU
rnacentral:lncRNA from 1 species